UACAUGACUCUCUAAAAACUCGGGAAAAAUUCCCCUUUAUAUAUAUAUAUAUAUGCUCGUGCGAUCCACACGGCUUUGUUUUUGUCUUUUUUUUUUAUUUUUUUUAUUUUGAUUAAAUAAGAAUAGAUAAUGUCAUUAAUACAAAGACAUUUAUUAUUCUAAUAUGGAUAAGCUAUUGCAAUUGUUUUCAAAGAAAAAAGAAAAACUAUUACAAUUAAUUAAAAAGAUACUUUUUUAUUACAAAUAUAAAAAUAAAAUUUCCAAGUUCAAAGUAUUCACUUUUCUUCACCUCUAUGUAAAGUUUAUUUUUUUAUUUUUUUAUUUUUAAAUUUGUAGUUGUGGUACAUGUAUCUUGGGCUUCCCAUGAAUGAUGCUCGCAGAAUUAUUCUAUUCCCCUCUAUCUUCAGCCCCAAUUAUUUAGUAUGUAGUAUGUCCUUUUUCUCUAGUUACGGUACAUGUACCUUGGGUCUCCGAUGAAUGAUGGUGGCAAGAUUAUUCUUUUUCCGUCUUUGGCCGUUGUAGUUGUAUUUUUGUUUACCCAUUGCAUCCCUAAUGGUAUUGUAAAUUUUUACUUUAAGUUGUGGCUGAUGUUCUCGAAGAUCCUCACCAUAUGGGUUAAACAAAAGGUAUUAUAUCCCUAACCCUUUAAAAAGAGGGAACUUCUCCAAAUGAAAGUAAUAGUGAUAUGAGUCACAAGUCGAUGAAAAUUACUAUUCAUACGUUGCAAAAUUGCAAGAGUUUGACCAACUUGCAUUUGGAUGCAAUUUCAUUUAAUUUGUUGAGUCACCAAAUUAUUUCUCCCUAAUUUCCUCCCUUCCAUUCAUUUCCCUUCUGUCACGCUAUUGUGCUUCCUCUUUCAUUUGAUUAAUUAAUAAAAAAAAAAAAAAAAGGGAACUGUCUUGCUGCUUCUCCAUUUUCGCCCAGCCUCUUCUAUUAUUGCAACCCGUCUUCUCCAUCCUCGUCUCUUCGAGACUCCAUUGAAGCCAUACUCUGAAUCCUCUCCUCUCCAUUGAAGUUGUACUCUAAAUCUUUUCCCUCUCCACUGAAGUCGUUCUUUAAAUUCUCCAUUGAAGCUGCACUCUUAAUUCUCCAUUGAAGUCAUACACUAAAUUCUCCCUUGAAACGGUUUCGAUCUGAGCUUUUUGCUCUCCAUUGAAUCGAUUCUUAGUUGUAAACGUCAAUUGGAGACUAGGGUCAAUCGCAACUCUAUUGAAGCCACCAGAUCUUUUUCUUUCUCAAGAAUGGUGGUGAGAAGGAGUCCUCUGCUACGCGCAUUGUUGAGAUCGAAGAAUCACCUGAUCAAAGAGCUGUAGUUUUGUGUCAGGUGUUAAUUCAUGCAACAAGGAUUCAAGACUUUGAUUUAGGAAUAUUGUUUUGAUGUUGUAAUAUUUUUUUGGGUUUUUCUACGUGGUACCCUUGAGUUUUUGAGUUUUCUACCUUGUACGCUCCUAAAUUCAAAUUUCUUUAAGGUGACCUUGAGUUAUUAGUUUAUUUUACAUUAUACCCUUAAGUUUUUGGAUUUUUCUACAUGGUACCCUUGAGUAGUGAAAUAAAUGGCUCUAAAUUAAUUUGACUCAAACCCACACCAUCCAAACGACUUAUUUAGCACCAUCAAAGACACAACUAGCAUGUUUAUUGCAAAAAAAAAAAGGACUAACAACUUGAGUCCCUCUAAAACAAGCUCUUUUAGUUAAAGUAGGAGAAAAAAAAAAAGUUCUUAUCUUCCAUCUCAAAUAAUCGUACAAGAGUUCUACUAAAUAGCAAAUAAUGAAGAUUGGUGAUUCCUCCAUCUAAUAUAAAUAUAGAAGUGGUAAAUAGAUCAUUUAGAUGGCGUCGGUUUGAGUUAAAUUAAGUUAGAGUCAUUUAAUUUACAACUCAAGGGUACCAUGUAGAAAAACCCAAAAACUCAAUGCAAGGGCACCUUGUAGAAUUUAGGAUUUAGAAGGGUACAAUGUAGAAAACUCAAUAACUUAGGGGGUACCAUGUAGAAAAAUCCUAUUUUUUUUGUUGUACAAUAUCAAUUUCUGAGUUGAAUUUCAUUAUAAUUCAUUGUAAUUUUUUAAUUUUUUUUUGUAUUGUACAAUAACAAUUUACUUGUUGAAUAUAAUGUGAUUAUAUUUCAUUGUUUUUGCUUCUGUUA